rnacentral:rRNA from 1 species
GAUGAACGCUGGCGGCGUGCCUAAUACAUGCAAGUCGAGCGAACAGACGAGGAGCUUGCUCCUCUGACGUUAGCGGCGGACGGGUGAGUAACACGUGGAUAACCUACCUAUAAGACUGGGAUAACUUCGGGAAACCGGAGCUAAUACCGGAUAAUAUAUUGAACCGCAUGGUUCAAUAGUGAAAGACGGUUUUGCUGUCACUUAUUGAUGGAUCCGCGCCGCAUUAGCUAGUUGGUAAGGUAACGGCUUACCAAGGCAACGAUGCGUAGCCGACCUGAGAGGGUGAUCGGCCACACUGGAAUUGAGACACGGUCCAGACUCCUACGGGAGGCAGCAGUAGGGAAUCUUCCGCAAUGGGCGAAAGCCUGACGGAGCAACGCCGCGUGAGUGAUGAAGGUCUUCGGAUCGUAAAACUCUGUUAUUAGGGAAGAACAAAUGUGUAAGUAACUAUGCACGUCUUGACGGUACCUAAUCAGAAAGCCACGGCUAACUACGUG